CCUACGGGGUGCAGCAGUGGGGAAUAUUGGGCAAUGGUCGCAAGCCUGACCCAGCAACGCCGCGUGAAGGAAGAAGGCUUUCGGGUUGUUAACUCCCUUUGAUCGGGAAGCGCAGACGACGGUAUCUGUCCAAUAAGCUACGGCUAACUACGUGCCAGCAGCUGCGGCAAUACGUAGGUCGCAAGUGUUGUCCGGAUUUACUGGGUGUAAAGGGCGUGUAGCCGGGCUGGCAAGUCAGGUGUGAAAUCCGGGGGCUCAACCCCCGCACUGCAUUUGACACUGUUAGUCUUGAGUAGCGGAGAGGCAGGCGGAAUGCGUGGUGUAGCGGUGAAAUGCGUAGAUAUUAGGAGGAACACCGGUGGCGAAGGCGGCAUGCUGGAUGACCACUGACGGUGAGGCGCGAAAGCGUGGGGAGCGAACAGGAUUAGAUACCCUUGUAGUC
rnacentral:rRNA from 1 species